rnacentral:rRNA from 1 species
CCUACGGGAGGCAGCUGUAGGGAAUUUUCGUCAAUGGGCGCAAGCCUGAACGAGCAAUGCCGCGUGAACGAGGAAGGUCUUCGGAUCGUAAAGUUCUGUUGAAGGGGAAAAAGAGCGGAGAGAGGAAAUGAACUCCGAUUGAUAUUACCCUUCGAGGAAGUCACGGCUAACUACGUGCCAGCAGCCGCGGUAAUACGUAGGUGGCGAGCGUUAUCCGGAAUGAUUGGGCGUAAAGGGUGCGUAGGCGGCCUGCUAAGUCUGGAGUGAAAGGUACCGGCUCAACCGGUACAGGCUCUGGAAACUGGCGGGCUAGAGAGCAGGAGAGGGCAGUGGAACUCCAUGUGUAGCGGUAAAAUGCGUAGAUAUAUGGAAGGACACCAGUGGCGAAGGCGGCCGCCUGGCCUGUUGACUGACGCUGAGGCACGAAAGCGUGGGGAGCAAAUAGGAUUAGAUACCCGAGUAGUC